rnacentral:rRNA from 1 species
CUGCGAAAGCAUGAAACAUUAUUAGAAAGAAUUGAAGAGCAAUCUUCAGUUCGAGUACAAGUGUGUUUAUGGCCUCGUUGUUUAGUGGGGAGAGUUCUAUGGUGAGACGUCAGUUUCGGCAUGCUCUUUACGGUAGACAACAUGGGUUAUCUUGCGCAAGCAAGGAGCCUGAACAGUCUCACAUCAGACAUCUAGCGAUUCUGCGUGUGAGCAUUGAAGGAUUUAGUGGAUUACUAGCCGAUGGCAAGUGUUCAACUAAAAACUUACUUGGGGGUCUGCGGCAUUGAAUAGCCGGAUUUAGUUCUGUGAUUCUCUGCUUGUAACCUCCUCCAUGGUUGGUUAUGUUGAACCUCUUGUGCAGCGCAUGGGAGUGUUUAGCGGACAUCAUACCAGGGGAAUUCAAAGAGGGCUAUAUGGAUGUAGGAUGUUUGCAGGUGGUCUUUCAUUAGACUGGGCUGUGGGCACCUACCGACUGAUUUCGAUCAGUUGCAAUUAUAUCAAAUAACUUCAGUCGGGAAGACUUGCAGCGAUGCGAGUUGGAACGGCGAUGUGGGCUCUUGCGAGCCUUCAAGAUAGUUACCUGGUUGAUUCUGCCAGU